rnacentral:rRNA from 1 species
AGUUGGUGGAUUGAUUUGUCUGGUUGAUUCCGACAACGAACGAGACCUUUACCAGCUUGAUUGGAGUGCUUUCUUCGGAAGGUACUGCAUCCUAGCGGGACUUUGCGCGUUUAGUGCAAUGAGGUGAAGGCAAUAACAGGUCU